UACAGAGGUCCCAAGCGUUAUUCGGAUUCACUGGGCGUAAAGGGUGCGUAGGUGGUGGGGUAAGUCGGAUGUGAAAGCUCGGAGCUCAACUCCGAAAUGGCAUUGGAAACUACCCUGCUAGAGGAUUGGAGGGGGGACUGGAAUACUUGGUGUAGCAGUGAAAUGCGUAGAUAUCAAGUGGAACACCAGUGGCGAAGGCGAGUCCCUGGACAAUACCUGACACUGAGGCACGAAAGCUAGGGGAGCAAACAGG
rnacentral:rRNA from 1 species